rnacentral:misc_RNA from 1 species
UUUCCGUAGGUGAACCUGCGGAAGGAUCAUUAAAAAAUGAGACCUGAUUUUCAGGUCUAUUAAUAAUCCCUACCCUUUGUGAAUUUGUUUUGUUUUAAAUAUGUGUCUUUCCCUGUUGGUUUGAAGCUUUGUUUAAAAGUUUCGAACUAGGGGAAUGGCAAAAGACUUUUUUUUAAAUUAAACUUUUUGUAUUCAUUUGUCUAAAAUUAUUUUUAUAAUAUAAAAGCAACUUUUGACAAUGGAUCUCUUGGUUCUCGCAACGAUGAAGAACGCAGCAAAAUGCGAUAAGUAGUGUGAAUUGCAGAAUACGUGAAUCAUCGAAUCUUCGAACGCAUAUUGCACUUUUUUGGUUUACCAAAAAAGUAUGUCUGUUUGAGUAUCAGUAAAAUAUUCUCAUAAAAACUAUUGUUUUUAUGGUUAUGAGUGUUUUACAACGAUAAACAAGUUGUUUCACUUUAAAUUCUUUGUCUUUUAAAAAAUCAUUAAAAACUGAUUUUUUUUUAAAAUUGGAUAAAAUUUUCCCGUAAAAAGGAAUAACCUAAACAAUUUUAAUUAAAAUUGGUUUGAUUUCUUUUAAGACUUUAAAGGAAAAAAAAGUAAAAAUUAACUUGAUCUCAAAUCAGAUAAGAGUACCCGCUGAACUUAAGCAUAUCAAUAAGCGGAGGAAAAGAAACUAACUAGGAUUCCCUCAGUAACGGCGAGUGAAGCGGGAAGAGCUCAAAUUUGAAAUCUUCAAGGUUCUACCUUGACGAAUUGUAGUUUAAAGAAGUGUUUUCUGUUGGAGUUUUGGUAAAAGUUCUUUGGAAUAGGACAUCAUAGAGGGUGAGAAUCCCGUAUUUGACCAUUAUUUCCAACUUUGUGAUACACUUUCAAAGAGUCGGAUUGUUUGGGAAUGCAGUCCAAAAUGGGUGGUAAAUUUCAUCUAAAGCUAAAUACUGGCGAGAGACCGAUAGCGAACAAGUACCGUGAGGGAAAGAUGAAAAGAACUUUGAAAAGAGAGUUAAACAGUACGUGAAAUUGUCAAAAGGGAAGCGUUUGACACCAGUGUUGUUUUCUCGAAAGUCAAUUAAAAAUGGCGGGAUUUUGUGUUGUAUUGACUUUAUCAGCUUUCUGCACUUUUUUCCUAUCUUUUUUAAUGCACUUUUCGUUUAACAAGUCAACAUCAAUUUCUUUUGUUGUAAAAGAGUCAUUGGAAGGUGGCUUUCUUUUCGGAGAAAGUGUUUAUAGCCUUUGACUUCUGCAAUCGGAGAGAUUGAGGUCUGCAGCGUAGAUCCUUCGGGGUUAGAUGCAUUUGUGCUAAGCUAUAGCCUUUCAUAGACAACUUGUUGACUAUGAUCAGUCAUGUAGCUUACUCGCUUAUGUCAUUUUACCUACGCUUAGGAUGUUG